UCAUUUCUAUCCCUGUGACUCUUCAAGGCUGAGGUUGGGAGGCCUGUAAUUCCUUUCACCUGCACACCACCACCAAGUUAUCACAAAGUACCUGAAGUGAAGUUAUCACCCCGCAGAGCCCAAUUGGAUCUCAUCUAUACUCUGAGGCAUGAAGCUUUUCCUACUCUCAGGUGUGAGCUUCAGCUACAACCUGAAUCCAAUGAAAGGCUCUAUAACACUACAAAAAUGUAAUGCAAAGUGAUUUUCCUUCCACAGAGGAAAAAGGAACUCAGGAAGUAGAGAAGAAGACCCAAUGAACAUGGCAUGAACAUCUAUUAGAGGCCUGAGGCAUUUGCACAGAUGGACACCAUGGGUUGCUAACAGAGAAAUAUGGGUGGAGAACUACUACUGCCCUGUUCUGCUCCAGCAUUGAUCCUAACCCACAUCGAUCAAUGGUACUUUCACCUUUACAACUUCAGCUUGAGAGCAUUUGGUUUGCAGUGUCAGUUACAUGGCUGUCUCUCUCCGUCCCUAGAAAGAGAGUAUUUAACUGGGAAAACUGGAGUUCUAAUAAUUCAAUAGAAAGGUUACAAUAAAUAUUCAAUUACUUUUUUUUUUUUUUUUUUAAUUUAUUUUUCUUAAGGACUUCAGUAUAGUUAUACAUGUGCAGCCAUAGCCUGAAUAGUAACUUGAAUAAUGUUACAUUUCUCAUAACAUGUUUAAUUACAGCAUUUCUUAGCCAAGUUAAUGACAUAAAAGUUCAAAAAAGAGCAGCAAGACCCUAAUUAAUAAUAAUCCUCUUUCUAAAGAAUAUACAGAAAUUUGGGAAAUUAGUAUGAAGAGAGCUAUUGGUCUUUCUAAUCCAUCCUUUUUCUUUGGACUGCUAUUCAUUAGCCAUGCCCCAGUGUGCUCUCUGCUCACUGCUGUUCUACUCCAUGCUAUUUGAAUCUUCAUCUUUUGUUAGACUUUUCAAUAUCCUAAUUAUGUUUUUAAGUGAAAAAUCUCUCACUAAACCCCAGCAUAAACCUCCUUCUCAUUUCUAAUUUCAAGUCACAGUGGAAACAAGACAAUGACCAUGACAAAGUCAGACUUCUUUGUAUUACAUUUGUUACAUUUAAGUUGUCCUGUCAGCAACAUUUUUCAGACCAAGGACAUUCAAACUCUGAAAGACAAGCAAUGGCUAUAAUAUAGCCAAAGGCAAAAACAGCAAGGAAUUUUCAGUAAGGAACUUUAGGGAAGCCUUUAUAUGAAGCUUUAGCUUGACAUUAAUUAUUUAAUUAUUAAAGACUUACUUUUUUAGACCAAGUAGAGGAAUAUGGUCAAGAAAAACGUCCAGUAUCAAUUGCUGUGUGGGUUUUAUUGUGCCAUAUGUAAAUAAAGUCUUGGCUCCUAGAUCCAAUCUCUCUCUGAACUAGGGGUCAGAUGAGAGUGGGGAAAAUGUGGGCAAAUUGCCUUUUUUUUUUUUCCCCAUUAAAAGUGAUGAAGAACUUCCUUAUACAAUUUAAAUGACAUGCCUGUGGUGGCAUGUGGCAGAUUGUCUCCCCACAAUGCAUUUUUUUUUUUUUUGCUAAACAUCCUGUCAGUUUGCUUCAAUGAGUUCUGAAUUGUCUUAUCUAUGCCCCUAGGGAAAAAAGUCAGUUGUCUUUAUAAACCCAUGUUUUAGGAUGUUUUGAAAGUCUGGCCUAGUCUAUGAGGAAGAGACACUCUGUGGCACAUUCCUUAAUCAUGGCCCCAGUGGUGACUGCAUUCAGAGGAGAGCACAUGUUGGAAAGUAACAGCAAACCCUUCUGGGCUCAGCAACUGUGAAAAAUAGGCCAUAGGAAGAAGACUAAAGUCUGCUCGGCUCUUCUGAAAUGGAUUUGUAUCAUGCAGGCCCAGAACCUUCAGACCAUGGAAGUGCACUUCGUGCCCCCUUGGGAGGUCAUAAUCGAAGCAUAGCAUUUAAAAGUGUUAAUCAGCUGCAACAGAAGCAUUAAACAACAACAACAACAAAACAAACAAAAAAACAACAGCUAACAAAACAAACAAACAAACAAAACAAAAAAAACCACACCAUCUCUUAUGUGUGUGACAUUAGAUGCAAAGUCUACACAAGGUGUUCCACAAGUAGGUGAAAGCUUCCAGAAUUUCACAAUGAAGUAUGGAGUUUGUAAAUUAAAUUCCAAAAUGCCAUGAGAUGCCAAUUUAAUCAGUUACCUCAGAACCAACAUGAAAUGCUAAAACCAGUUCAGUUGUUUAUCAGUACUCAGUAUUUUGAGGGCUUCAACCCACUUGGUUCUCAGGAUUUAGUGUAGGGGUCUGGCUGACAUGGUCCCUACUCUUAAAAAAGUACAUGUGUUACCAUGUGCUGUGAAAACCUCAUCAGUUCUGGAUGUUUACAUACAACUCUUGUCUAUGUAAGUAGUCUGUGUUGGAUGUUGUGCAUUUACAUAGACCGUUGAAUAGCAUUAUGGUUGCUUUGUAUUUUUUUUACUUUUAUAGUAACCAUGGUUUCUGUGACUGCAGAUGUAAGCUGGCAGGCACAUUCUCCAUCUGAUA